rnacentral:rRNA from 1 species
AUUGAACGCUGGCGGCAGGCUUAACACAUGCAAGUCGAGCGGGGAAAGGUAGCUUGCUACCUGACCUAGCGGCGGACGGGUGAGUAAUGCUUAGGAAUCUGCCUAUUAGUGGGGGACAACAUUCCGAAAGGAAUGCUAAUACCGCAUACGCCCUACGGGGGAAAGCAGGGGAUCUUCGGACCUUGCGCUAAUAGAUGAGCCUAAGUCGGAUUAGCUAGUUGGUGGGGUAAAGGCCUACCAAGGCGACGACCUGUAGCGGGUCUGAGAGGAUGAUCCGCCACACUGGGACUGAGACACGUCCCAGACUCCUACGGGAGGCAGCAGUUGGGAAUAUUGGACAAUGGGCGGAAGCCUGAUCCAGCCAUGCCGCGUGUGUGAAGAAGGCCUUUUGGUUGUAAAGCACUUUAAGCGAGGAGGAGGCUCCUUUAGUUGAUACCUAAAGAGAGUGGACGUUACUCGCAGAAUAAGCACCGGCUAACUCUGUGCCAGCCGCCGCAGUAACAC